AUUUAAAAAUUAAGGGUGUUACAUACAAUUUACUUGCACAUAUACCAUUUGAGCCCAAUCCUAAUUUAUUAAGAAAAUUUAUUAUGAACCUAAGAAAACGUUUAGUAACUCAUCUCCUUUGCUUUCAGUUGUGCUCUCAGAACGGUUCGAAGAUAGCUUCUUGAAUAGCAGUUUGAUGGCAAAAUAAUUAUCGUCAAUGUCAUACACGUCUAUCUACCAUUUGGUGAUCUUUGGAAAUACCUUUUCAUUUCUCUUGCUCUUUCAAGAACCAUAAGGGAAAAACCAAACGAAAUCGAUGCAUUUCCACCCACUUGAAAUGGUCCCAAGACAAUGCUUCCAGAGAAAAUGAAUUAGUUCAACCUCCAAUUAGUUCUGGAGUUCUUUAGAUAGAUUGUCUUUGUAAUCACCCUAAAGCAUAUACCAGAUGAUAAGAUUGAGCCUUAUAGUCACAAUUUCAACACGUAAUAGGCACAAUAUGAAAUCGUACCCAUAUGCUUUAGAAUGAUACAACAUCCAGAUAUACAUAUGCUUUAUAUUAGUUUUACAUUGUAGUUUUAUUGCUGGAGUCCCAACUGAACUGCAAUAUGCAUAUAUAAAAGACUGACCUAAAUCAUCCCAUAAAUUAGAGAGCUGUAGUACCAAAUAGCCAUAUAGAUGUUGCAUCACAAUUCAUUGGCAAGCACUGUAGAACCUUAAUGAGCUUCAAGUGCUAAUCCAACCUUCUCAUUCAAACUCUUUAUGUACUCCUUUCUUGCAGGAUGGUCUUCCUGUGGGCGGUUAAAGGGUGUCCACACUGGCUCUCCCACAAAUAACCUCAUCAACUUAACAUAGUUACUAGUGUCAAGAGUGAAACGGUGGUAGAUUCCUGCUGGCAGAAUAAUAAGAUCACCUGCCUUGAUCCAGAUUCGGAUCCAACGAUCAUCCUUGUCUCGAACAUCAAAAUAUCCACUCCCCUGUAAGCAGUAGCGUAUCUCCUCAUCAGCAUGAAUGUGCUCUGUAUAGAAGUUCUUCAGCUUCUCUUCAUAGUUAGCAACUUUCUCUGGGCACAAAUCAAGUAAGUCCAUGUAAUUGUAUCCCCUCGCUUCCCUGAUCUUCUUCAAUUCUUCACCGUCCUCGUAGUCCUCUGGAUUCAAGUGCCAAUACAGCACUCCCAAUUCAGCCAAGUGAUCCAAGGAAACGAACUCCUGUGGGUUGCGGUGAUGUGGGAGCCUUUGGUCUUCACUGCUUUCGUCCAUGAACCAUGCCUGCAACAGAGCACGACCUCCAAUUAAUAUCCCAGCCAGAAGAUUACUGGAGCAUAUACUUAAUCCGACGAGGAAAAAGAACUCACGUCAAUAGCCAUGGGUGAGAUUGAAAUGGAAUCCUCACUGCUUCGCGCGGGAGUCAAGACUCUGCUAAGACCGUUGCUUUAGAGGAGAAGAGGGCAGGGGCAUCAGGCGUCCUUAUUCAGACAAAUGUAGAUUCCCGAUUUCUCGGUGACUUACAGUUACGUGCCACGUGUUCAAUCCUUUUCCCUCUUGCUAUUUGUGGUGCUAUUGCUUGGCCGAAAUAAUAUCGCGUUUGGCAUUUACCGGUGAUGAGGGACGCAAGUGAUUCAAUCGUUUUUCUUGGCAAGAA
rnacentral:misc_RNA from 1 species